CACAGACACAUUCUUAGCACAGUGAACAUUUCCUGGCACCUGGGCACCUGUCGGACUCCAGAGCUCCACAUGUUGGCACGUCUGGGUUCUCUUUUCUGUUCCACUGGCCAGUUGUUUUUAUCUUUGCAUCCACACAUUUUGUUAACAAAGUGGACCUGCGUCCAGGUGGCUACUUGCUGCCGUCUGAACCAGCAAGCGCGCCCCUAGCAUCUGCCGGCAGGAGCCAGCCUUCUUCCGGAGGGUCAGGCACAUCUAUUUGAAGUGCGGCAUUUGGCAACCUUCCUACGGAUUCUGUAGGCAGAACAGAAGAAGAACAUUCCUGCCACCAGAAUGAAGGGCCGGCGUCUAUGAGUAGGUGGUAAGCACGAGUUUCUAAAUGAGGCAUUUGGAAUGCAAAGCAGUUCAACCAGGCUAGUCAGUGCACACUGACCACAGAGUGAGACUUGGAGGGUCUGGGAGAGAGAAAACCGAACAUGUGGUAGGGAGAGGUGGGAAGAAAGAAGAGCUAAUUGUAUGGCACAAUAAUUCAAUUAAAUUAAGAAAAAGCUCCCAGACUUUGAUUUAAAAUAAUAGAUGGAACAUCCAAUUUUAUGGAACGAGGAGUGGUGAUGAGGAGUUUUGUUAUGAAGUAUGCCAGGCACUAUACUGAGUCCUACAGAAAGGCAGGGGCCCACGGGUGCUCUGCGUAUCAGAGAGAAUAUAUGUAAAUACUCAGUACAAGAUAGUACCACUAAAAAAUGCAAAGCAACAAUUGUGGAGCAAUAAAUGAGAAGACAGUAAUUAGUGGGACUGAAGGAAAGAUUCCACAGAGUCUAUGACAUCUUAACCGGAUCUUGAAGGAUGGAAGGAAUUUUUUCUAGGAAAGAACAAAGCCCCAGAAAGAAGAGGCAAAAUGAGCCAAGCUCUACAGAUAAAAAACAAUAAUGGCAAACUUUCAUCAAGUGCUUUUUAAGUGCUAGGUUCUGUUCCAAGUGCUUGACAGUUAGUAAUUCUCCUUACCACACGCUUGUGGUGAGAAUGUUAUUCCUCCUUAUUUAUGACAGAGAAACACAAGGCAGUCAGGGUCCAGAGUCCCAGCCCUCCACCUCCUCACCGUGGCCCAGGCAGGUACCGGGCUGAGGGGUGUGGACUAGAAGAGUCCACCUGACUGGAUGCAGGCCUCUUGGCCAAGGCUGCAGAACUGGGUGACGAGACUGAAAAUAGAAAUUGGACCAGAAAUUGGAAAAUUCUUCAGUGCCAUGUCAGGACUUUGGGUAUUAUCCUCAGACCUUUCUGUGAAUGGGGUCUACGGACCCUCCAAAUGACAGCCAUCUUGAACUGGCAAAAAUACAGACCCUGAGCCUGGCUCCAGACCAGCUGAGCAGGAGCUGUGGUCAUCUGAAUCUGGAAAGCUCUCCAGCUGGCUCUUCUGCACACUCAAGUUUGAGAACCACAGCUGUAGGCCACAUAGAUGUGUGGCCAUUGUAAAGUUGGGGAGUAAGUGGUCAGAUUUGCUCUCCUGGAAGCAAAGUUUUGACUAAUGCAUGAGUUGGAGGGGAGAGCCUUGAAGCAGAGGAUCGACCAGGAGCCUCUGUCCCCUCCAGGAAUGAUGACAGCCUGGACUAGAGGAACAGCGACACUGAGAGGGGUUUCAGAGGCAGAAUGGCAGAGACGUGGUUUGAGGAUAAGCCUGGAGAGAGAGGGACGUGUGCACAAUGAACUAAUUCAAAAGUUCCUGCUUGGAUGGCUGACAAUGAAGCCGGGCAAUAGCAGAGCACAGGACUGGAUUUAAAAGACUUGGGUUCAGAUUCAAGCUCCGGCACCUGCCAGCAGUAAGACAGCGGCAGCUCAGUUUUAUCACCUGCAAAACUGGGACAGUUUUACCCAAUCAUAGCAUUGUUGUGAGGACUAAAUGACACGCUGCAAAGAAAUAUGCAUAUUCCUGACACUUGAUACUUUCCUACUCAUCUCCAAAAAGGAAGAUUGAGUGACAAGCCAAGGCACAUCAUAAUUACAUUAGCCAAGAUUGAAAUGAAGGAGAGAAUCGUAGAAGCAGCAAGAGAAAAGGGGACAGUCACCUACAAAGGACUUCCCAUCAGACUGUCAGCUGAUUUCUCAAAAGAGACCUUACAGGCAAGAAGGGGCUGGAAAGAAGUAUUCCAAGUCAUGAAAUGCAAGGACCUACAUCCAAGAUUGCUCUAUCCACAAAGUUUUCAUUUAAAAUGGAAGGGCAGAUAAAGUGCUUCUCAGAUAAGGUCAAGUUCAAGGAGUUCAUCAUCACCAAGCCCUUAUUAUAUGAAAUAUUAAAGGGACUUAUCUAAGAAAAAGAAGAUAAAAAACAUGAACAGUGAAAGGACAGCAAACUCACAGUUAUUAACAACCAUACCUAAAACAAAAGCAAACUAAGAGGACAGCUAGAUCAGGAGUGGAAACAUAGAAAUGAAGAUCACAUGGAGG